UGGGAAAAAACCAGACGCGUUGUACCAAGUGAAGGAUCCUGAGAUACGUCAAUUCGUUGAAAAAUGUUUGGCCACCGUGUCUCUAAGGCUCUCAGCAAGAGAGCUUCUGGAUGACCCUUUUCUCCGGACUGAUGAUAGUGAAUCAGAUUUAAGACAUACAGAGUCUAGGAGAGAACUAGAUUAUAUGAACCCUCUGCUAAGGAAGCCUGUCAUCGCACUAGAUUAUGAAGGAA
rnacentral:misc_RNA from 1 species